GGGCGGUUAGCUCAGUGGUUUAGAGUGCUGCGUUGACAUCGCAGAGGUCACAAGUUCGACUCUUGUACCGCCCACCA
rnacentral:tRNA from 2 species